rnacentral:rRNA from 1 species
GAUGAACGCUGGCGGCAUGCUUAACGCAUGCAAGUCGAACGGGAAGUGGUGUUUCCAGUGGCGAACGGGUGAGUAACGCGUAAGAACCUGCCCUUGGGAGGGGAACAACAACUGGAAACGGUUGCUAAUACCCCGUAGGCUGAGGAGCAAAAGGAGAAAUCCGCCCAAGGAGGGGCUCGCGUCUGAUUAGCUAGUUGGUGAGGUAAUAGCUUACCAAGGCGAUGAUCAGUAGCUGGUCCGAGAGGAUGAUCAGCCACACUGGGACUGAGACACGGCCCAGACUCCUACGGGAGGCAGCAGUGGGGAAUUUUCCGCAAUGGGCGAAAGCCUGACGGAGCAAUGCCGCGUGGAGGUGGAAGGCCUACGGGUCGUCAACUUCUUUUCUCGGAGAAGAAACAAUGACGGUAUCUGAGGAAUAAGCAUCGGCUAACUCUGUG